GUGCUUGCUUUGUCAGCACAAAUACUAAAAUCAGAACAAUACACAGAUUAUUAGCAUGGACCCAGUACAAGGGUGACACGCAUAUUUGUGAAGUGUUCCAGACUUAA
ensembl:snRNA U6 U6 spliceosomal RNA